CUCAGGUUUCAUAUAACUUACGUUACAAAUGAAGUCCAAUAGAAGUACGGCGGAACAUUUAAAAUUAAUCGAAAAAAAUGCCACCAAACAAAUGUCAGGACGAUAUUUUAUAUAUCACGCAACUCGUAAUGUUUUAUUUGCACUUGGCGCCUGGCCAUCUAUUGAUCAUGAAGAAUCCAUGCGUCCGCAAGCUUGUAAUUUUUUGCUAAUUUGUGUGACUUACACUCUUCUUUUCUGCGAACUUUUACCUGGUAUUCUUUAUUGGUUGAUGGAGAAAUCAACGCGCAUUCGACUCCAGACAAUUCCUCUUCUUCUCUAUGACAUCCUGUCUGUCAGUCAAUACGGGAUUUUUAUAUUUCGCCGUGAUCAGCUUGGUCAAUGCUUGAAACAUGUCGAAGAAGAUUGGAAUAAUAUUAUUAGUGCGGAUAUGCGUAAUAUUAUGUGGAAAUCCACGAAGACGGGCAAAUACCUGGCUAAAAUUUGCGGAAUUUUCAUGUAUACUGGUGCCGUUACAUUUCGAACUAUCUUACCAUUAUCCCAAGGAAAAACCGUCACUGAUCAGAAUAUUACAAUAAGACCAUUUGCUUGUCCGGGUUACUUCUUUUCUCUCGACAUCUAUGUCAGUCCGGUUUAUGAGAUACUCUUUACAAUUCAAUGUUUAACAGGUAUUGUUAUGGUUUCGAUCGUGAUAAGUGCAUGCGGCCUUACAGCAAUUUUCGUAGUACAUGCUUGCGGCCAAUUAAAGAUCUUAAUCGGCUUGAUGAGAAACCUUGUGCAGGAAUCUUGGCUAGAGGAGCAUGAAGUGGAUAAGAAAUUAGCUGAAAUAGUCAAGCAUCAAAUAAGAGUGCGCAGUUUUUUAAAAUUGGUACAGCAUACUCUACAAGAAAUAUAUUUGAUAGAAAUAAUGGUAAAUACGAUUGCUACCUGUGUUUUACUAUACUUUAUGAUACUGGAUUGGCAAAAUAAAACAACUCAUAUAUUUAUAUUUUGUUAUACCGGUGAACAACUUACCGGUCAGGCAGAAAAGGUGGCCAUUGAAUCCUGUGAACUAGAAUGGUAUCGUCUUCCGAACAAGAAAGCUCGCAACGUUAUAUUACUGAUGAUUAUGUCUAAUACACCAACUAAGCUGUCCGCUGGAAAAUUUGUUGAUCUAUCACUCAAGACAUUUGGUGAUAUUAUGAAAACAUCUGGAGCAUAUUUUAAUAUGCUUCGAAAUGUAAUCGAGUGAAUGUUUAAAUUCUAAUAAACGAGAUUAUGACAAAUU